GCUUCAGCAACAGCUCACGUAGUGCACAAUUAUGUGUCUCUAGAUCUGACGGACAGACAAGCUCUAUUCCACGACGCCUUCAGCGUUCAGUGGAACUUUCAACUAGCGUGGGUAUUCCCACCACCAUUUCUUGUCCCGAAAGUACUGACUCACCUCAAUCAGUCCACAGGAGUAUUUCUUGUCGUCGUGCCUCGAUGGGAGAAAGUGUUUUGGCGUCCAGACCUCAAAGCGCGAGCCCUAGCAGCUCCAUUAACACUGAGAAAUCUGAACAAAAGUCUAAUCGACACCUCGACAGGACUUCCACCUCCCAAAGUCGAAACCAUCAUCCUCGAGGUGUGGAAAUGUGGGGGUGGUCUGAGGCGUUAAAGGUUUAGCAAAAUCUGCUUCACGCACAGUAAUAGCAAGCUGGAUUAAAACCUUACUUAAGGAAGCCGACAUUAUUGCUACACCUGGAAGUGUUCGAUCUGCGGUCGCUUCUAAAAGUUGGCUAGAAAAUCGUUCUAUAGAGGAAAUUCUGGCUCGUGGAAACUGGAGGUCGGGUAAUACAUUUAGAAAAUUCUACAGGCGUGAAGUAAUUAAUAACAACACGUCUAAUGGUGUUACAAACUUAUUCAUACCAAUAAGUGAUUAAGUAAUAAUUACAGUAUGUUAUAUGUUACCACAAUAUGAUUAAAGUAUUAUAUAAACUGAUUUUUUAAUAACAAUAAAUUAAUCAUUAUACUAAA